UUUAGAUAUGGUGAUCUCGUGCCUUUGAGCCCUCAAGGCAAAAUUGUUGGAUCUAUGUGCGCCUUAAUUGGGGUUCUUACACUCGCGUUACCAGUACCGAUUAUUGUAAGUUCA
rfam:Dictyocaulus viviparus strain HannoverDv2000 D_viviparus-1.0_Cont257.11, whole genome shotgun sequence.